rnacentral:rRNA from 1 species
CGGUACGUACUGGCAUUGUUGGUUUCUCCCUUCUGACGAACCAUGAUGUCAUUUAUUUGGUGUUGUGGGGAAUCAGGACUGUUACUUUGAAAAAAUUAGAGUGUUUAAAGCAGGCUCACGCUUGAAUACAUUAGCAUGGAAUAAUGAAAUAGGACGUUUGAUUCUAUUUUGUUGGUUUCUAGGAUCGACGUAAUGAUUAAUAGGGAUAGUUGGGGGCAUUAGUAUUCAAUUGUCAGAGGUGAAAUUCUUGGAUUUAUUGAAGACUAACUACUGCGAACGCAUUUGCCAAGGAUGUUUUCAUUAAUCAAGAACGAAAGUUAGGGGAUCGAAGACGAUCAGAUACCGUCGUAGUCUUAACCAUAAACUAUGCCGACUAGGGAUCGGAUGAUGUUAAUUUUUUAAUGACUCAUUCGGCGCCUUACG